CUGCGGAGGAUAUUACAGAAAGUAAACGCGGGUCAAACCGCGAACUUCUAAACCUUUGACGAUUGACUCAUGUUGCCUCGGCGGGUUCGCCCGCCGGAGGAUACAUCAAAACUCCCGUUUUAACGGUGUUGUCUGAGCUACAAGCAACGAAUCAAAACUUUCAACAACGGAUCUCUUGGUUCUGGCAUCGAUGAAGAACGCAGCGAAAUGCGAUAAGUAGUGUGAAUUGCAAAAUUCAGUGAAUCAUCGAAUCUUUGAACGCACAUUGCGCCCCUUGGUAUCCCGAGGGGCAUGCCUGUUCGAGCGUCAUUUCACCACUCAAGCCUGGCUUGGUGUUGGGCGACGUCCCUUUGGGACGCGCCUCGAAACGCUCGGCGGCGUGGCACCGGCUUUAAGCGUAGCAGAAUCUUUCGCUUUGAAAGUCGGGGCCCCGUCUGCCGGAAGACCUACUCGCAAGGUUGACCUCGGAUCAGGUAGGGAUACCCGCUGAACUUAAGCAUAUCAAUAAGCGGAGGA
rnacentral:rRNA from 1 species